UUCGGCCGACAGCUGGGCGGAGACGCGCACGCAGGCCUGGCGGGGACGCGCACGCUGCCCUCUGACCCCGCAGCGACGUGGCGGAGAGUAGGGUCUGAAGGGAGCCCCCGCAGUGGCGAGUCCUGCCGUUAGAGUCCCGCGGCGCCCAGGGAGGCUCCGCCCCGGCGGUGCUACCAACCCUGUUCGAUUUUAGAAUCCUGCAUUCCUACAGGGAAUCCUAGACCCCUCAUUUUACAGUUGAGGUUACGGGCCUAAGUAAUAUGACCUGUUCUCGACGCUUGUCGAAGGAGAAGCAGCCCCGAUUUCUUGGCUCCUGGGCACUGCUUUCGGGUUAGCUCGUUUGUGGAGGAAAUGGGUCAGCCCUCGCUGGACCCUCGGUGAUUGCCGCCACAGGCCUUCCCGCUGGCUAACAGCGUGCCCCAGUCCCGUGACUUAAAGCCAAGACGGUGCUGUGGCCCGUUAUCCCUGUCGAGUUUUAGCUCCCCCGGGAAGGAGCUCAACCCUGGAUCCCGGCGGGCGGCGGAGCCUCUCUGGAGCUGGGACGGGGCAGCCCACCAGGGUCUGCUUCUAUGAGGGGCUGAGGCGUCAGUACGCGAAGAUGAGAUCAACAUUUAAAUCAGUAGAUUUUGAGUAAAGCAGAUUACUUUCCAUAACAUGGGUAGGCCUCAUGCAAUCAGUGGAAGGCCUUAAGAGAAAAAGAUGAACUUCCUGGAAGAGGGAUUUCUGCCAGCAGAAUGUCUUCAAACUUGAGCUGCAAUACCAACUCUUCCUUGACUCUUUAAACCACCAGACCACCCUGCAGAUUUCGACCUUGUCAAGACUCCACAAUCAUAGUUUUUUUAACUCAUCAUUUUCAAUACUAUUUAUGCUUCCCAACUCAAGAGUGUCUGAGAAGAAUUGAGAAGACAUGAAAACAUGGAUUUUACUUGAUCAAAAAUUAGGAAUCCUGCUAUCAACUCAUAUUGACUUUCAAUGUCUUGAGCAUUGUUUCAUCUGACUGAAAAAAUGAAUUUUGGACAAAUGAGAAAUAAAUGCUAAAUUAGAGUCCAUGUAUCAACUUGAUAUUACUUAAAAGCCUUUUCUAUCUAGAUUUAGCUUAGUAUAUGUCACAGCCAGUGACAAGUCACUCAUAUGGAGAGGACAGCCAAGUCACCACAUUACUCAACUGUUGUACAAAUUUUGCUCCUAACCUUGCCAAGAAUAUAUAUGUGUGUAAGUGCACAUGUACAUUACGUAAGUACAUUAUGUACAUUACGUAAGGAGAUACACGUGUGUGCACAUGUAUAUUGCACACACACACAUAUAUAUUCUAUUGUUUGUUUCUUUGGAGAACCUUGACUAUUACAAUGAUUUUUAUUCUAUUUGGUCAGUGGAAUCUGAACGGCCUCAAAAAGUGAUAUCAGGUAGACUCUUCAUUUUAUUGGUCUGCCUUAGUAAUAUGUUACAAAUAUUACACUCUUCCAAUGAUAAUUAAUUACAUAAUUAUAAUAUAUUGAACAUUAAGAGAAGAAGCUUAUUAAAGUUAGUGUUGGGUUUUGUUGCUACAACAAAAUACCACAGACUUGGAAAUUUGUAAACCAUAGGCAUUUAUUUCUCACAGUCUGGAGGCUGAGAAGUCCAAGAUCAGGUGCUGACAGAUUUGGUGUCUAGUGAUGGCUGCUCCCUGCUUUAAGUGGGCAAUACUUGCUGCAUCCUCAUACAGAGGAAGGAGUAAAAAGAGAACAAGGAAUGCUGUCUUCCCAUGACAGAAGAGAUGGAAAGGCAAAAAGGUGCUAGAGCAAUCCCAACUUCUUUUAUAAGAACACUAAUUGGCCGGGCGCGGUGGCUCAAGCCUGUUAAUUCCAGCACUUUGGGAGACUGAGGCAGGCGGAUCACAAGGUUAAGAGAUAGAGACCAUCCUGGCCAACAUGAAGAAACCCGGUCUCUACUAAAAAAAUACAAAAAUUAGCUGGGCAUGGUGACGUGUGCCUCUGGUCCCAGCUACUCGGGAGGCUGAGGCAGGAGAAUUGCUUGAACCCGGGAGGCAGAAGUUGCAGUGAGCCAAGAUCGCACCACUGCAUUCCAGCCUGGUGCCUGGCGACAGCGAGACUCUGUCAAAAAAAACAAAAAAACAAAAAAACCGCACUCAUUAGUUCAAGAAGGCAGAGCCCAGGUGGCCUGAUCAACACCCAAUCCCCCUUUUCUUAAUACCAUCACUUUGGGCUUUAAGUUCCAACAUAUGAAUUUUGGACGGACACCUACUUUGAACCACAGCAGCUAGGAAUAAUUUUUAAUUUCUAUAUUCAAAAAUUUGGCAUGUCUUUAUGGAGCAGGCAAUUGCAUGUGUACUGGCAAUGUAACAAGUGUGUAUUAAUGGAAUGCUGUUCUGCUCACUACAGUUCAAGCUAUGAUUUUGGUUUGAAAAGCUCCUGUGGUUUGGGUUGUGACAUUUCACACCUCACUGUAAUACAGACACAGAAGUGAUCCUCUUAUCUAGCCAUUGUUCUACCAGGCACUUGUUUCCCAGGAUUUUUGCUGACCAACUUGCAUUUCAGUUGCCUGUUUACUCCUGGAAGUGCAGAUACGGACAACUGGAAGUGCUGGAAAUGCUGGUCCUGGACAACCGGGCAGGUUUGAUGUUGGGUAGCUUCAGUUCUAGGCUUGACUAAGACAACACAAAUGCUUUUAACUUCCACACCCCUCUCUGCAGGAUGUAGCAAAAUCAGCAGGAGCAGAGCCAGGCAAAGACGACUUUUGUUUUCUCUCCCCUUUUUCUUACCUGCCCCAUCAUGUUUUAAAUGAACUGUUCCAAAUCACAUGAUUUCCUUCCCAGGGGCUAUUCUCCCAGUUCCUCUGGUUGGUGCAGGCCUUUCCUAUGGGCCCCAGCAGGUGUGUCUUCCUCAUGCACCAUGUGCCCAUUUUCCACUGAAAUGGGUUUAGGGGAAUGGACAGGGAAGGGAAGUGGAAAGUCUAAACAAUGGAAUAAACCAAUGUCAGUAUUUGCAGCUCUGUGAAUAGGAGAUUAUUAUGGGUUCUUUUUAUAUCUAAGCAGCUGAUUUCCUUUUAUCAGAAUAAAAAAAUGUAAUUAUCAAAACCCACAUAUGCAAAACACUCUCCAUAGCAAGCAGUGGUAAUGCACUGACCAUAUUUCUGAUCCAUAAACCAGUCUUUAAUUAGAGAAGCUCAGGUAGAGGGAAAUAACACUUCAACAUGAUCAGGUCUAUCCAGAGAAGGAGGGGUGGGUGAGAAAGCCCACCUCGAAGGAAUAGUUCUCCAACCUCUAGCUUUAUGGACCUCACUUUCUGAGUGGGAAGAACCCGUAGUAUGGCCCAGUUAAGUCAAAAGAUGGCAUCAGAUUGUGUUAAAAAAUAAAACUCCUUUUAAUUUCAUAAGGAAGAGAUUACAAAUCACACUUCUAGAAUGAAUAGGAAUUAGAGAGAAUGUUAUGGAAUCAACUCAUAUGAGAAAGAUUCAGCCUCAAAGAUUCUGAGAAUAUCGCCUUAACCAGUUGAGAAAGAAGGUAGACUGUUUCCUUUUUUAGUCUUUGCUCUUUCACAAACAUGGCAGUAGGAGAAUUGUUUAACUUGUGAAAUGCCUUGUAUAUAAUCUACUUGGGAAGGCAUUUUGUUUAUAAUGUGAUACUGUGCCAGCUUUCAGAAUUCCUUUCUUUUGUUUUUAAGGUCUAACAUGAAACACUGUUCCCUAUCUUCACAGCCUCUUCUCCAUCCUCCCGCUACCCCUGCCUGCUUUUUCCCUGCCUCAAAUCCCAAAGUCAGCUAUCAGAACAACAGAUUACAAGUAAACAUCUAUUUAUUGAACAGUCAAUGGAAUAGAGAGUUUUUUUUCCUAAGUUGUGUACAGAGAUGAAUUUGUCAACAUUUUAUUAAAAGUAUCUGAGGUAAAGAAAGUUUUGAAUGAUACUAGGGAUUUUUAGCAAUAAGGGUGAGGGUUUGGGGACAUAUAGCACAAUGACAGGUUCCAGAAACAGAGACCUGCUUUUUAAUUUAGUUAGUUGCCUAAAUAUCAUUCUGUUUCUUAUUCGUUUUCUUUGCCGCUGUGUCAGCUAAUUAACUUCCAUUAAGAUAUAUUAUGAGCAAAGUUUUUUGUCUUUGUUUUCACUGCAGAGUAUAUGUUAACUCAUAAUUACUUCAACUUAAAGUAACUAAGUUCAUUAAAAAUGUAUUUUAAUAGUUUAGUUACUGGGGAAAAAAAAUGUGAUUUUAAGCAAUUUUUGUUGGUAGAAGGGCAAGAUGAUCUUUUUCCUUCUAAUAGCAUAAUAAUAUAUUCUUCAAAUAUGUAGAGUAUAUUGCAAAAAUGUGUUUUCUAAAGAUGCUUAUCUAUUUUGGCUACCAAAACAGAAAGGUUUUCUGUAUUUGAUUUGCCUGUGGAAAGAUUUUCUGUAUUUGAUUUGCCUGUGUGGAAGACAUCUGUAAGCUAUGUAUUUAUUUAUUUUUACUUGCUCUGCACUUUUUCCUUCUGGAGAAACAACCCAUUUCCUACUUCAAGGUCAACUAAAUUCAGGGUCAAUCAAAGGUCAGUCAAAUGCUCAUUAUUCCCUCUGCAAACUAUGAUCAAGGAUGGGCACGUAGCUCAAAUCAGGUUGUAUUUCUAAGUGCCAGGAUGAGUGGUGUUCACUUUCACUAGAAUCUGCAGCUGUUAGAAUAAUGGAGCUCAGAAGCACUGUUUUGCCAAGACUUGGAAAAUCUAUGUAUUAAUCAGUUUUCACACUGCUGUAACAAACUGCCCGAUACUGGGUAAUUUGUAAAGGAAAGAGGCUUAAUUGACUACAGUUCAGCAUGGCUGGGGAGACCUCAGGAACCUUACAAUAAUAGUGGAAGCCAAAGGGGAAGGAAGGCACCUUCUUUCAAAGGCAGCAGGAAGAAAUGCUAAGUGAAGGGGGAAGAGCACCUUAUAAAACCAUCAGAUAUCCUGAGAACUCAUCACUAUCACAAGAACAUCAUGGGGAAAACCACACCCAUGAUUCAGCUACCUCCACCUGGUCUCUCUCUUGACACAUGGGGAUUACAAUUCAAGAUGAAAUUUGGGUAGGGACCCAAAAUCUAACCAUAUCGACCUAUGAAUGAAGAGCACAUCAAGGCAAGCAGAUCCAGAGGUGAAGAAGAAAGCCUGAUGACAUUGCAUGGUCUCCUCAAUCUGUUCGUACCUGACCCACUUACUUAAGACGAGGUUUCCUCCUUUCUGUCUGUUUGCUUAAGGUAAUUUAAGAUAUAUUUCUAGCCUAACUUUGAGAAAGUUCUAAUGUGCCCAUUAAUCUUUAAUUAAAAUGUAGUUCAUAUGAUCAUAUUUUGCCUAGUACAUAAUAUGAUUUCCAAAACCUUGUCUAGAUGGGAAGCUUACGAGAUUUCCAAUAGCAAAACUGUUAUGUAUUUGAACUAUGCCAUGUAGUACAGAUUACUGUAAGAAAUCUCCACAAAACUGAGUAUCUGGAUAAAUGUUUUUUAACUCAUCAUUUUCAAUACUGUUUAUGCUUCCCAAAUCAAGAGUUUCUGGGAAGAAUUGAGAAGACAUGAAAACAUGGAUUUUACUUGAUCAAAAAUUAGGAAUCCUGCUAUCAACACAUACUGACUUUCAAUAUCUUGAGCAUUGUUUCAUCUGGCUGAAAAAAUGAAUUUUGGACAAAUGAGAAAUAAAUGCUAAGAUCCAGUCAGAGUCCAAGUAUCAACUUGAUAUUACUUAAAAUCCCCUUCUAUCUAGAUUUAGCUUAGAUCUCAUAGCCAGUGACAAGUCACUCAUAUAGAGAGGACAGCCAAGUCACCACAUUACUCAACUGUUGUACAAAUUUUCUCCUAAUCUUGCCAAGUUGUUGGUGACUGUGCAGUUUAUACUCCAGGGAAAAUUUUGUUUGUCAUUCUUACUUGGUUAACUUACCCAUGAAGUUUGUCAUUAAUAAUUCGAAUUCUCUGGAUCUAAUACCUUUAAAAAUAGAAGCAAGAAUCCAAGGAUACUAAUUCUGUCCAAUGAGUCACUUUUUAUUUCUGCCAGCGACCCCCUAGGGAAUCAGUCCAAGGCUUAAAUCCUAUAAAAGCCAUGGAUGAAUUUUCUAAUGGGUGAUGUAGAUGGAUGUGGAAGUCUGUGGCUUAGGAGUUACUUGUGAAUUACAGAAUGAAUGGCAAGAGAACACUUGCUAUCAACAUUCCUCCUCCAUACACCUUUUAACACUUUAGGAUACAGGAGACAGUCUUAUGCGUAGAAUAUAGGGCACAUUUGUUAAAGAAAUGUUACAAACCACUUUACUCUGAGCCUUCAUUCCCUUUUAUUAAAAUGUCAAUACAAACUAAUCAACAUAGCAAGACCCCAUCUCUACAAAAAAUUUAUAAAAAGAAUAGCUGGGUGUAAUGGCACAUGCCAGUAGUCCUAGCUACUCAGGAGGCUGAGGUGAGAGGAUCUAUCACUUGAACCAAGGAGUCUGAGAUUACAGUGAGCUAUGAUCAUGUCACCGCACUCUAGCCUGGGUGACAGAAUGAGGUUCUGUCUUAAAAAAAGAAAAUGACAGUAUGCUUUCUAAGCAUGUUUAUUGUGGAGAUAAAAUGAAGAUUCAGAAUGUAGGUGAAAAGUGUUUGGAAAUGGAGGUUCAACAUGUCCUUCCAUCAUGAUGUGGUCCCACUUGCCUCUCCAGCCUUUCCAUUCGCCAUUAUCUGCUCCCAUUCUCCCAAACUCUAUACUUAGUCUUAAAUACUAUCUGGUCUUUCAUGCUUCUGGAAUCUUUAAAAAUACUGUUCUGACCCUGUGUUCUCCCUUUCCCCCAAAUCUCACCAAAAUCUAGCUACUCCCCUCAUUGUUCGGGUUCCCAUUCAUAUCCUGCUUUCUUCAUCUCCUCAAACUGGAUUUUGGGAUUUCUUCUAUUAUGGCACUUGCUUUAUUAUGUUUUGAUUGCCAGUCUUCUUAUUUGUUCCCUUUACUAAUAUGGCUUUGUGCAUGUCAUCAGACCUAGAUUAAUGAGGACACUCCCAACUUAUUAUUAAAGACUUAGAAAUUGACUAAAAUGAAUACGACAUAAAAAGUUUAAUCUUGGCUUCUUCAGAGAUAAUAUUCGACAUCUUUAGUGUUUUCUAUCCUCAAGUCCUUUCUUGUGUAAUGAUUGCAACAUGGGUUUGACUUUUGAAAAUCAGUAUUGUAACUGAUAGAUGCUAUAUCAACAAUGACAGUGAUAAUGUCUUCUAGAUUAAAAGAGUACACUAUUUGGUGGUCUUAGAAAUGGAAAAGUUCUAUCCUAUAUAUUUAAAAUAGUAGCUCAAAAGAUAAACAUUCUGGGCCAGGCACGGUAACUCACGCCUGUAAUCCCAGCACUUUGGGAGGCAGAGGUAGGUGGAUCAUCUGAGGUCAGGAGUUUGAGACCAGCCUGACCGGUAUGGUGAAACCCUGUCUCUACUAAAAAUAAAAAAAAAUUGUUUGGGCAUGGUGUCAUGCACGUGUAGUCCCAGCUACAUGGGAGAUAGAGACAGGAGAAUUGCUUGAACCCAGGAGGUGGAGGUUGCAAUGAGCUAAGAUUGUACCACUGCACCCAAGCCUGGGCAACAAAGCAAGAGUAUGUCUCAAAAAAAAAAAAAAGAAGAAGAAGAAGAGAAACAUUCUGUUUAGUCAAAUGGGCUUGAUUUGUUUGACCAGCAUGUGCAUGCAAGCAUGUUGUAGGGAAAAACUGAGAGCCUUCUUACUAAAAACCUUCUGUUGUAAUCCCUAGGUCUUUAAUGACCCCUCUCAUGGAGGCCCUGAACCUGAUGUGUAAGGGCAGAUUAAAGACUGAGAAGGGCACAAAGCAUCCCAAUUUUUGUUCAACUAUUUGCUUUCAAUCAUCACACUUGCAGGUUUUAUAACUAGUUAAACAUCUUUUCAUUUGUACUUGAUGGUUAAAUUUUUCUAAAUCAAUCUUCUGUGAGAAGAUGGAGGGAAAGACUGGUUAGGUUUUUUUUUAUGCUCCAACUUUAUAGCUUGGAAAUAUUUAUGUUUCACUCCUGGUUCUUCUUAUCCAAGGGAAGUAGCCUUGCUAAUUGAAUGAAGCUUAGACAUCCUCAAAACCUGUCCUCUCACAGUCUGAGUGAGGAAAUAGGCCUGGAAAGGUCAAGAACUCCUCCAACAUGGCAGAGGCAGGUUUAGCACCCAGGUGUCCUGGGAUCUCUCCCUAGCAUCUCACUUUGACUUUUGGUCUUUCACCACUUCAUCUGGUCAUGUUGCAGAACUUUUAGGUCUGUCUUGGAGUUAUUAGUGUCUAAAUUGUCAUCAACAAGUCUUUAUAAUCUGCCAAUAUUUAUUUACAUCCUCUCAGGGGUGAUAAAGAUAUAUGUGAUGGAUAUUUGUUAUUUGAGGAGGGAUUUCACCUUUAAAAAUAAACAAAAUAAUUUAGAGGUAAUUUGUGAGCAAUACAGGUAACUCUGUUUUUCAUUUUUUCCAUUAAAUGCUGAGAAAUAGCUUUAAAACAAUAAAGUCUGCUGGUAGAGGCUUAAAAACAACCUCUAGAGUUCCUUUUAGAAAAGGAGUUUGAACUGAUUUCUUACUUAUUUUAAUAUGUGAAUAAGUCAUAUAGCUUUAUAGAUUUUAUAAUGUCUUCACAGCAUUAUGAUUUGCUACCAAGUAUAAUCUAAAUUUCCACAGGGUGGUUAGACUUAAUUGAGGUAUUAUCAUUCUACAAAGCCAAACAUCUGAAUAUCAGAAUGUUCUCGUUGCAUCUACAAUAAGCAUAAGAAUUUAGAGAAUUCUGCAUUUGAAUUUAGGGUUUUUCUUAUGAUUGGCCUAAGUGUAAAUAUUUCAUAUAGUUUUCAAAAAAGAACCAAUUCCAGAAUAUUUUUUUCCUUUCAAAUUUGUGUUUGGUCUAGUGGGAAGCAUAUAUGUUAAGAAAUCGAAUCAUAGAUCUUUUUUAGGCAAUAGAAAAAUUAUUUUUAUGGAUUUAUAUUUGUGUAUGUUCCUAUUGGAAAAAAAUGUCUUAAUUCAUUCUUACUGGCAUAGCAAAACUAGGUAAUCCCACUUUGCCAGUUACAGUAACCUGUUACUUCUUUUACUUUAUGGAUCAAGUAGGGAAAAAAGUUCUUGACAGUAGCUGAACCUAUUUCUGUUUCUGGAACACAGUUCUACAGAAGACCAACUUUUAAAGUAAAAAUGAAUAAAAAAUAAGAAACAAUAUAUGUUUCUCUUGCUGAUUCAGCCUAGAAGCAGAUGGAGAGGCCAUGGAGGUAAGUCCUGUGCUUCUAUAGGCCUGAUUCCUGUUUCUAAAAUUUGAUCUAAUUGUAUCAGUUUAUGUCUCCUGGGAAACAGACACCAAAAUAUAAUUAGAAGAGCAAGAAGUUUAACAAGAGUAAUCUCAGUGAAAGAUAAAGAGGAAAAGGAAGCAGGAAUAGACAAAGAAAGACUCAGACUACUGUGAUAUAAGUCUGACCCCUGUAGAAAGGUAGAGUAGGAAAGAAGAAUUGGCCAGGUCUAGCCUCAAAGGGCAUUAAGUAUAGUACUGACAAAACCUCAGCCAACCAGAAGAGAGCUCUUCUUGCAAGCAGUGACAGAGGAGGAACUCUGCAUAAGGGACAGAAGCCAGGCCCUGGUACACCAUAUUCAGGCAUAUCUAGUCUUCUGAGGGCACUAGAGCAGGAGGCUCUCAACUGACUGCACUCCUCCAGGUGAAUAGCAAGUUCUUUUUAUAUGAGGAGUGCAUCUUGACUGUCCCAUUAGUAAUGAGAGACAUUACAUUUUUCUUGGAAGAGCCCCUUCCAAGAAACUGUGGGGAUACUUGCAAACUGUGGGGAUACCUUGUGCAUAUUGAAUAGUAUCACAGUAAAGUUGGGCUCCUGAAGUCAGCUCAUUCACAGGAGUCAUAUCAGUAUCCUGUAUGACAUUGUUUUCUACUAAAAAGCCCCAAACUGGCAGUUCUAUGUUUUACACAAGAUGAUGAGGUGCAUUUCUAACACAAAUUCUUAUUGCUAAACUGAGGGAAAUAUGGCAACCUGUCAAAAGUAAUAUGUACUCAAUAUCUUUUGAAUAAUUGGAGCAAAGCUGAGAUUGUUACAGUACAUAAUUGGUUGACAUGCUACCAGGGACAUUUCAUGUCCUUGUGCAGUUCUGUGAAAUCAGUUUGGAUUGUGGUCUUCUAGUCCCUGGUCUCUCUCUCUGUCUUUCUUUACUCUAGCAAUCCAUCCUCAGUUGAUAAACAGUUAAUUUUAAAUCACAGAGGUCGUUUAUAGCUAGUGUAUUAGAUUGUGAGGAAUUGGCUUUUGCAAUUACGGAGGCUGAAAAGUCCUAUAAUCUGCAAGCUGGAGACCCAGUAAAGCCAGUGGUGUAAUUAUAGUCCAAUUCUGAAUGCCUGACAACCAGGGGAGUGGAAGAUGUAAAUCUCAGUUCAAGCACAGAAGACUGAUGUCUCAGCUCAGGCAAGCAGGCAAGAAGCAAAAGGGAAAAAUUCCUCCUUUCUCCACUUUUUUCCUUCUAUUUAAGCCUUCAACAGGUUAGAUGAUGCCAGCCUAUACCAGUGAGAAUCAUCUACUUUAUGGAGUCCACUGAUUGAAAUGCGUACCUCAUGUGGAAAUACCCCCAUGGACGCAGCCAGAAUUAAUGUUUACUCUGAGCGCACCAUGGCACAGUAGAGUUGACACAUACAAUUAACCAUCACACCUAGGAACACAGGAACAAUCAAUUUUGUUAAGAGGAUUCAGAAAAGCAAAAAAGGAAAGAUGACAUUUUGAGAAGGAAGGAGACAUUUGCAAGGCUAGAGGGGAGGGGCAUUUCAGGCAGAGAAAACCAGAUAGAGAAAACCAGACAGAGAGAGAGACAGAGAGAGAGAGAGAGAGAGAGAGUCUGUGUCUCUGUGUGUUAUGUGUGUUUUGCCCGGCAGGGAAGAGGGAAGGGGAAGAGUGGGUGGAAUGAAAUCACAGAGAGUGGCUAGAAGAGCUUUAUUUUGGUUCUCAUAGGUUUUAAUUAGUAUCUCACAGAUGCUUUUUUGUGUUGCCCUUUGUCAUGACAAGUGAAAACUUCUCCAUCAUAGAUCUGCUCUGCUCAAUACAGUGACUUUUAACCACUUGUGACUGUUUUAUUUAAAUUUAAGUUAACUAAAAUUAAAGUUUUCAUUUCUCAGUUAUGUUAUUCACAUUUCAAGGGUUCAAUGUCCAUGUAUGUCUACUGGCUCUUGGAUGCUAUAGAUAUAAAACAUUUAGAUUAUCAGACAGCACUAAAAGGACAAUCCACAACUCAGCAUUUUGCAAUAUCAUUUCUACCCUAAAACGGAGACGGAGAACUUAAUGACAGAAUAUUGGGUUAUACCCAGUAUUCUCCCUGCAUGCAUAUAUGAGCACUACUGCAAAGAUAGUUCAGAAAUUUGCUUUGCAUCUUCUGAAAAAAUUGAACUCCUACACGCACAGAGCAGUGAUAAUCCCUGGCUUUAAUUUUAAAACAAAUUUAAAGGCUAAUUGAGAGAGGUUAGUAUAAGAGGGGGGACUCUGGAAUAACAAUGCUGGGCUCAAAUUUGGUUCUGCCAUUUACUAGAUGAGAGACUUUGGAGAAUGCCUAGGUUACCCCCAGCUGUGAAAUGAAUAUAGAAACAGAACUUUCCCAUAGACUAAUUAUAGUAGAUCAUAUGAGUAAAUAUAUGUCAAGAAUUACAAUAGUGCCUGGUGUAUCAUGUAUGUUUUUAGCAUUAACUAAUAUUAUUACUAGUCAGCUCUUUUUUAUUAAGUAGACACUAAAUCACCUAGUCUCUCAGCUGGAUUUAUGAGUCUGAUUACAUUUUAUUAUGGCAAGUAUUCAAUAUCCAUUUAUUAUUGUUGUUGCUAUUAUUGUCUUUCAAAUGGCAGUGUUGCUAGAAGGCAAUUAGCAGUAUUCUCACAAGGCCCUACUUCCUAAUACUAUCACUGUGAGAAUGAGCAUUCUAACAUAUAGAUUUGAGGAGUACACAAACAUUCAUACCAUGGCAAUAUGUUGAAUAGAAAACGUUUCUAAAAAUCUAUAAAGGGAUAAGAUUUCCAUAAACAAGUUUUCUUUUGUUAUUUGUUUUGCUUCAAAAUUGUGUGAUAGUGACUUCUGCUUUCUGGCAAAAUGGAAAAACAAGAAUGGAUUUAUCAUUUGAAAUAAAUUUAAAAAUCCAGCAAAAUAUAGGAAACAAUGGUUUCCUGGAGAGUAGCUAUUGGGCAGUGUAGGAGAAUGAUACCACAGAGACAGGAAACAAGCAAGACGAACAUUAUGGUUGCCCCAGAUUACUUCCGUAAGAGCAUUUUCAGGUCAUGUCACAGGGAUGGAGAUCACUGGUAGAUUCCAGCAGAUUCCCUAGGUUGAGGACAGGGAACUAAGGAUCCAAGGAAGCCAGAGUAGCUAGAGUUCACAGGAAGUUUAUUUACAAAAAGAGAGUUGCACCAAAAAAGAAUCCAGGAAAUAGGCAGCAAACAACCCCUGAGCAUUAAGCAGAGUAUCAGUCAGUGCUCACAUGUGAGAAAACUACCUGAGGCCAGGAAAAACAUCACCUGAAUGAAUCAGAAAGAACAGUGCCUGACAUUCACAAAGGCUGAAAAUAGUUCAUAUUUUCAUCAAAGUAGAUCUUUUCAUAAUUCAUGGGGCACUGUGUAGAGUACUCAAGGAGGCCUUGUCUCAGUAGUGGGAAAUAAUUAUACCUUUACCUAGCACUGCUUCUGUAUGCCUACCAAAUCACAAAAGCGAGAUUCCCGCACAUCAAACUUCUUUGCAUAAUUUAGCUGCAUCUCAGAACAAUGCUCAAUUAUAUUUAUAGGAAUAUAAAAAUGCCCAGCACACACCCACUUCUGGAUAUAUAUCCAAAGUAAAUAAAGUCAGUAUUUUAAAGAGAUAUCCACCCUUCCAUAUUUGUUACAGCAUUAUUCACAGUAGCCAAGAUAUGGAAACAUCCUGUAUCCAUUGACAAAUGAAUGGACAAGGAAAACAUUAGAUAGAUGGAUAGACAGACAGAGAUAGAUAGAUAUACACCCCCACAUAUAUAUAGAUGUAGAUAUAGAUACACAAACAUAAACACACCAGGAUAUUAUUCAGCCCAUAAAAAGGAGGAAUUUCUCCCAUCAGUGAUAAUAUGGAUGGACCUGGAAGACAGUAUACUAAGUGAAAUAACCCAGACACAUAAAGAUAAACACUGCAUGAUCUCACUUAUAUAUAAAAUCUAAAAUUGUCGAACUAAUAGAAGCAGAGAAUAGAAUGGCAGUUGUCAGGGACCGCGGAUGGGAGAAUGGGGUGAUGUUGGUCAAAGGUUGCAAAGUUUCAUUCAUGUAGGAUGAGUAGAUUUUGGAGAUCUACUGUACAAAAUGGAGCCUUUGUACAUUACAUUAUUCAUUGUAAUGUAUAACAAUAUUGUAUAUUUUAAAAUUUGCUAAGAUGGUAGAGCUUAUGUUAAAUGCUCUUACGAAAAAAGAAAAAAAUAAUAACAAAAAUGGAGGAGGAAGAAACCUUUGGAAGUGUUGGUUUAGUUUAUGGCAUUGAUUGUGGUAACAGUUUCAUGGGUGUAUACUUUUUCCCAAGCACAGCAAGUUUACAUAAUGACAAAUAUUUUGUCUUGUUUUUACAUUUACAGCAUUGUACACAGAGCUUGCCAGUUAUAUAGUAGAUGUUGAACAGUUUCUUUGUGUUUCAGCUGUCAAACUCUGUUCUGACUAUAUGAGGUACUGCAUUUCUCUUUGAAACAGUCUGUGAAGUAGUUUCCUGUGUAAGACUAAUAAAGAGAUACAACCCUUA